CUUUACGUACACACUUGUAUAAAAUUUGAAAAAUAAUAUUUUCUGAUUAUUGAUUGAAUGUAUUCAAACAAUUAAUCACAAGUAACUAUCUAAAUUGGUGACAUUUGGCAACAGUGAGUAGAUCUGGUUUAUUUAUGUAUGUUUAUUCCAAACAUAACCUUAUAAACAAACAGUUGUUUAUUUAGAGUUAUUUAUUAUUGUUUUCUCAUAUUUUGCAAUUGUUAAGUUGGUUUACUUCGAAUUUAAUGUGCAUUACUGUGGUAUUUCUCCAGUUUUCUAAGAAGGUUGGUGAUUUUGAAUUGGGAUUAUGAUGAAUUUAACCCAAAGGCAAUGUGUGUGUUUAUUUAUGUGGCAAAAUUCCAGGCAGCAUAAAAAUUUGAGUUUCUUCCUGUUGCCCAUGGAUGAAAAUCGGUUUGCAGAAUGAAAAGAAAUUGUUCAAUGUGAUAAACUUUCUAUGAACAGUCCUCAGUGUUGUUACAUUAACUUUUAAAUAUGCAUCUUGAGGAGCAGGCCUUUGCAGAAAUACUGAAAAGCGGGUUGCAAAACAACGCAAAAUAAAAUAAACGAAAUAUGUCUUGAGAUUAAACAUUCAAGUUGAAGGUGUGUUCUUUCUUAAACUGGAAUGAUAAUUUUGUAAUUCUGUAGGCACAUCUAUUGAGAAGUUACAACCAGUGGCAAAGUGCCUUAAGGGAAUCUAUGACAUAUAUAAUUGAAGGUAUGAGUAUAUGUUUCAAAUCGUUGGAUGAUUCUGAGAAAGUGUAAAUUUUUUUCAUGAAUUUGGUACAUAACCGUCUUUAUCUAAACUCUAAAAAUCAUUGACAUCUGUUUUGAAGAACCAUGUUCCUAGAAACCAUUGAUAACAAAUAUAGACGGUUACCUCUGCAUUCGUUGUAUCAUCUUACUACUCUAUCCAUAGUGAGUCUAAUUUUUAAAUCUAUAAUAAUUGUUUACGUGCUGGUUUCAUAAAGAUGCUUCAAAAAUCUAUAUGGGCCUUACUAGGCAGCACAGCCAUGCCUUUAAUAGUUUUUCCAAUUAUAUUUUCAAUAUGCUUAUUCUAGUUAAGAUUGCGGGACAAAAAGACCACUAAAUAUUUGAGUUCAUUUUUAGGUAUCAGCAUUGGCUCUACAGCCCAUGGUGGGUCUUGGCCUGUUCCAGAAUCAGCUUCCACUCUUUCCUAUCCUUUGCUUGGAUUUCCAAUUUCUCACUCGAGCAUGAAUUUUUGGUAUAUAUGGGAUUAUAUUGUGAUAACGACCAGAUCUAUGAAAGAAUAGUAUGUUGUUAAAGAAGAUUGUGGUGACACUAUUCAUGAAUAUCUGAUAAUAUUGGUUAAUGUGAAUGGAGUCCAAAAUGGGGUUUAGGCUGUUAUAUAAAAAACUAGGUCAUUAGCAUAUGGAAGUAGGGCGACAUUAUCUGGUAUUAAAUUAUGUGAAUGAGGAGAAUUAAACCUAAAAACUCUAUUUAUUCUGCUAAUCAAUAUGAAUUUAAUAUAUUUUAAUAUAAAACAUAUGUUAUUCUUUCUAGGGACACCUCCUCUGAAGGAAUUACAAUUAUUUGCCAGUAUGUCAAAUGAAUUUUCAACAUCAGUCAUACUUUCAUGAAUUUAUUGAUGAAAAUAAAACUAGGUACAUGAUUUAUUAUUUACUUCCAAGGGAUUCUAAGAUACUAUGUGUAAAAAGUCCAAUAUGCAGUGAUGAGCAUGCUAAUAACUGGCAAAAUAUGGGAUAUAACGCCAAAGAUGGGAAACAUGGGAUGCAUUCUGAAGUAAAAAGAGAUGAAACUGAGAGAAAUUAUCGAUAUAAACAUAUAAAUUAACAUUGCAUUACAUAGUUUCCCACCUUUAGACGUAUCAGAUGAGUAUGAGAACUGUCACUGUGCCAGGAGAAUUUUAUAAAAUACUCCUGUCACAGAGAUCUAAAGGUGGGAAACUAUGUAAUGUUAUCGUCGGCUAAGAGUGUUAACCUGCUAACUCUAUUUUUCACUGUGAGUGAUAUUGGGGUAGUUUCUAGGUCUGUGUACCUUCAUACCAUGUCCCACAAGCCCGCUGGUUCCACUGUAGUUUAGAGAUAGCUAUUUCUAAACUACAUUGGUGUCGGCGGGUUUGUGUGGUGGUGUAUGAAAAUACACGGACCCAGAAACUAGCCCAAUAUCACUCAAAGUGAAAAAUGGAGGUUAAAACUCUUAUCCAAGGUUAUGUUAAUUUAUUCGUUUAUAACGAUAAGUUCCACUUCUACCAGUUUCAUCUCUUUUUAUCUCACAAGUUAAUAUGUUUUCCAUCUUUUGCGUUAUUUUGCCGGUUAUUAGUGUGAGUGCUCAUUACUGUAUAUUUACGAUUCUGUGAUUUCUCAAUAUGAUGCUGAGUAGGUAUAUAGUAGGUAUCUACAACCCUUUCAAAACAGAAAUUUAUAAGUUCAUUUUAUGUACCUAUUAAACUUUAUUUUAAGAGGAUCGGUACGUAUUUUUGGCUGCAAUCGUAUUCAAAUGGGGAUUCAUUUUUUUCAAAUCCUGAGAAAACCAAUAAGUAUUUUUGAAAAAUUUAAACGCAGAAUGAAAGAUUACGUUAUUAGCGAGGGCCGAAAGUCCCUGAGAACUUCUAUAAUGUUUAUUUUAAUAAGUUACAGGGGUGAAAAAACUAAGAGAAAAUUUAGUGUGAUUUUUAAUUUCAAAUAUAUCAUUCAAAAUAAAGUUUUUAUUUAUUCUAAGGGACUUUCGGCCCUCGGUAAUAAUUUAGUCUUUCAUUCUGCGUUUAAAUUUUUCAAAAAUAUUUAUUGGUUUUUUCAGGAUUUGAAAAAAAUGAGCACAAUGCCGUGGUAAUAUUUUCCAAAUCUGUCUUUGUCUUACAACGCACUCAACCGAAUAUAAUAUUGUCAGCGUAUAUUGUCAGUCAGACACUGACAAUCAGUGACAAUUUUAAAUAUUUGACAUUGCAUCGGGAAUAUUUUGAGAAAUUGAUUAAAUAUUAUUGAUAUAUAGUGUAUUUGAUAAAUAAUUGAUUUAAGACGUGAACUUAAUAAAAAGUUAUUUAUUGUGUAUUAUUUGUGGAAGAUCCAAGCAGAGAAUACAUCAGAUAUAUCCUGUGAUCCAAGUAUUUUGUUGUUAGAGAUGUUCAAAAUUGUAAGCGUUCCAAAAUAACAACAUAUUAUUAAAAAAUCACUUUAACACUUUUCCUCUUUUCUCGAUUGAUUAUUAGUUUUUGUUGUACAAAUAAAUUAUUACAAUCACUGAAAACAUAGUUAUUGAAAAAAUUAUCACAUUUAUUAACUGAAUUAAUAAUUUGCAAUUAUAAAAAUAACAGUUAUCCAAGAACAUUCAAAAGCCAUUUCUUUAAAUUAAUUAUGACAUUUUCAAGUAAAAUGACAUUCUAGUAAUGUUUACAUAUCCACACCAGUGUGAAUUUUACUACACGUAAUUUGCCGUGUAAAGACAGAAAAAGUAGGGAUACACGUAAAAUAUUUGCGAAUUAUGUACCCAUAGCCUUAAGGAUGAAUUUGAAAUGCUUGUAGGGAAUAUAUCUGUAAAAAAUAAAAUUGGUAUUGUAAAAUUGAAAUUCUCAAAAUAUAAUUUAUAAUUCGAA